AGAGGAGACAGGCCACAGACCGUUUUGCUUCCAGCUCUUUCACAAGGGGAGAAUGAACUCGCUUCCCCAGGGCUCUUACAGCGUACAGGGAACCUCUCAUACAAAGUCCUGAAACGCAGUUUGUUUCCAGCCAUGAUCUCGCCACCUUGGAACUUCUGCUCUAAGCCAUGUCCUACAUUGCUCUAGAGGUGGAAUCACAAAGCGCUGAGUCAUUGCCUUCAAAGGAGACAAUCCACAAACGGUCUUGCUUCCAGAUCUUGGGAAGCUAAGAAACAACUUGCUCUCCACAGUGCUCUUACAGCCUACUGGGAACAUGGCUCACAAAUCCUGUGAAACACAGUUUCUUCCCAGCCCUGAUCUCACUGAAGUAGAACUUCUGCUCUGCCGUGUAAUACAUUGCCAUAGAGGCGGAAGUCACAAAGCCCUGACUGGCUUCCUUAAGAGGAGACAGGCCACAGAUGGUAUUGUUAUCAGCUCUUUCCAAGGGGAGAAAGCACUGGCUUUCCCCAGG
rnacentral:lncRNA from 1 species